AUGCAAAACGGGGAACUCUCUACCCGUGAUGAUUUCUCCAUUGUUUUCCUUUUCCGGUUACAUGUCUACAAGUUAAAAAAACCCACAAGAGUGUGUCUCCGCUCACGGGGCGCUUUCUGCCACGCGGAGGCCCCUGGAAUGUUGUUUCCCCAUCUUUUGUUCGCUGUCACUGGCGUCGCUGGAGCUGUGGGCUGGCUCAGCCCCAACACACGCUCAGGCUGGACGUUUUGGGUGCCAAGGGCAGAAUUCAAAGGUUGUCACCACCCCUGGAGCAGCGCGUCCCUGUUGCCCGCAUCCUCUCCAGCAUUUGGCGGCGUCUGUGCUCUGGACUGCAGCCCUUCUAGAAGAUCAUCAUCUGAGGAGAGUGAGCAGGAGAAAUUCAGGCUCAGUCAAGAAAUAAAUAAACAACACAAAGAAUGACAAAAGUAAACACAACUUUAACGAAGAGAAAUUUAAAGUAAAUACCACACACUGAUACUGAUUUACACGGUACCAAAAAUUGGAAAACAGAGACUAAACAGACUAUUAUCCAGAAAAACACCUUAACCAAAAUUGUCUCAGGAAAAUCUGUUUUAUGGAGCAAACCGUAAUUUGAAAAGAUACAUGUAUCCCAUUGUUCACUGCAGCACUAUUCCCAAAAGCCAAGACAUGGGAGGAACCUAAGUAUUCAUUAGCAAAGGACUGGAGAAGGAAGAUGUGGAGAAGAGGCCACCACUCAGCCACAGAAAAGCAUGAAGAAGUGCCACUGGCAGCAGCGUGGAUGGCUCUGGAGGUUAUCAUGCCAACCAAAGUAGUCAGAGAAAGACAAAUAUCAUAUAGUAUCACUUACACGUAGAAUCUAAAAAAAGAUACAAAUGAAAUUGUUUACAAAACAGAAGUGAACUCACAGACAUGGAGAGUAAACUUACGGUUACCAAUGGGAAAAGAGAGAGAAGGAAUAAAUUGAGAAUUUGGGAUUCACACACACACACACUACUGUACAUAAAAUAGAUAAACACGCUCCUACUGUAUAGCCCAGGGAACUAUACUCAGUAUCGUGUAUGAACCUAUAAUAGAAAAGACCCUGAAUCUCUUUGCUGUGCUUCUGAAAGUAACACAACAUUGUAAAUCAACUACACUGCAAUUAAAAAAGAAAAUUUUUCUUUUAAAAAACUUAAACCAAUAACAUUUAAAGGAAACACGUUUAUUCUGUCCUUCAAAUGACAAGAGUUGACUUUUUUUUAACACACAACUUCUAACAAAUCAUCAUGACAAACUAUUCCAAGAACAUAGCAAAAUAAAAUUAUGCAACUUAUUUUAUGAGGCAAAUAUAGAUUUCCUCAUAAAACACUAAAUCUACACAAGGAAAAUAAAAAUCUAGAACAAUUUUACCCUUGAACAUAUUUUUUAAGAAAUCCCACCAAAAAAUAGUGACUACAGCAGUAUUUAAAGAAAAUAGAGCAUGAACAGGUGGGAUUUAUCACAGGAAUGCAAUAUUGUCUAUUACUGCAAUUGCUCAUAUUAAUAAGGUAAAUGAAAGAAACAGCAUUAUAUAUGGCACCACAAAUGCAGAAAAAGCAGUCAAAAUCCUUGUGGACACUGGUGACAAUAAUUUUUAUUAGCAAACUAGAUAGGAGGUUUUUUUUUUUUUAACUGUAAAAAUAUCUGUUGAGAUGGGAUUAAGAUUGCAGAACAGAAGACUGGAGCUCAGCUUCUCUCAUAAAAACAACAAAAUUACAACCAAAUGCUGAACAACCUUCAACCAGAUAGACUGGAGACUUUCAAAACAGAUAUCCUACUCUAGAAGACAAAGAGGAGGUCACGUCAAGGUGGCAGGAGGGGUGGUUACGUGAUAUAAGCAACCCCAUCCAUAACCGCCGGGUGGGCAGCCCACAGACUGGAGAGUAACUAUGACAGAGACUCACCUACAGGAGUGAGAGUUCUGAGCCCCACAUCAGGCCCCAAUGCCUGGGGACCUGGCACUGGGAGAAAGAGCCCACCAGAGCGUCUGGCAUCGAUGGCCAGUGGGGCUUGUGCGCAGGAGAUCCAGGGGACUGAGGGAAGCGGAGACCCCAUUUUUGAAAGGAGCACACAGACCUUCAUGUACACUGGGUCCCAGGGCAAAGCAGAGACUCCCUAGGAAUCUGGGUUGGACCUGACUGCAGUUCUUGGAGAAUCUCCUGGGAAAACAGGGGUGAAUGUGGCUCAUUGUGGGGGAAGGACAUUGGAAGCAAAGCUCUUGGGAAUCUUUAGCAGCAUGCCUUUCUCUGGAGGUGGCCUGUUUUUUGGGAAAAUCUGGCCCCACCCAUUGGUGCUGAGAAGCCCCAGGCCAAACAACAAUCCAGGUGGGAUCACAGCCCUGCCCAUCAGUAAACAGGCUGCCUAAAGACCCCCCAGGCACACAGCCAACCUUUAUUCUCACCCAGAGACAAAGCCCCACCCACCAGAGGGAUAGGAAUCAGCCCCACCUACCAAUGGGUAGGCACCAGUCCCUCCCAUCUGGAAGCCUACAGCAAGCCCCCAUACCAACUUCAGCCACAAGGGGGGCAGACACCAGAAGAAAGAGAGAGUACAACUCUAUAGUCUGCAAAAAGGAGAACACACCAAAAACCUAUAAAAAUGAAAAGGCCAAGAGCUAUAACUCAGGUAAGGGAGAAAGAAAACCCAGAAAAACAGCUAGGUGAUCUGGAGAUUAUCAGCCUCAAGGAAAAAGACUUUAGACUGAUGAUGCUGAAGAUGAUGUAAGACACUGGAAAUAAACUGGAGGCAAAGAUGGGUAACUUACAGGAAACACUGAGCAAAGAGAUAGAAGAUACAAAACUUAAGUAAGGAGAGAUGCAAAAUACAGUAACUGAAAUAAAAAAUUCAUUAGAAGCAGCCAACAGCAGAAUA
rnacentral:lncRNA from 1 species